GACGAACCGGGCAAACGUUAUUCGGAAUCACUGGGCUUAAAGGGUGCGUAGGCGGUCCUGAAAGUUGGGUGUGAAAUCCCUCGGCUUAACCGAGGAAUUGGGCCCAAAACUACAGGGCUAGAGGAAGACAGGGGUAAGCGGAACUGAUGGUGGAGCGGUGAAAUGCGUUGAUAUCAUCAGGAACACCAGUGGCGAAGGCGGCUUACUGGGUCUUUUCUGACGCUGAGGCACGAAAGCUAGGGGAGCAAACGGG
rnacentral:rRNA from 1 species